GAUGAAGAACGCAGCGAAAUGCGAUAAGUAAUGUGAAUUACAGAAUUCAGUGAAUCAUCGAAUCUUUGAACGCACAUUGCGCCCGCCAGUAUUCUGGCGGGCAUGCCUGUUCGAGCGUCAUUUCAACCAUCAAGCCCCCGGCUUGUGUUGGGGACCUGCGGCUGCCGCAGGCCCUGAAAACCAGUGGCGGGCUCGCUGUCACACCGAGCGUAGUAGAUUUUCAUCUCGCUCAGGGCGUGCUGCGGGUUCCGGCCGUAAAAAGCCUUAUUUACCCAAGGUUGACCUCGGAUCAGGUAGGAAGACCCGCUGAACUUAAGCAUAUCAAUAAGCGGAGGA
rnacentral:misc_RNA from 1 species